rfam:Streptomyces clavuligerus ATCC 27064 chromosome, whole genome shotgun sequence.
GCCGGUCCUCGGUAGUGGCCCCCGGAGUGCACAGCCCCGGGUGCUUCGAUCGAAGACCGGC